UACGUAGGGGGCUAGCGUUGUCCGGAAUCAUUGGGCGUAAAGAGCGUGUAGGCGGCCCGGUAAGUCCGCUGUAAAAGUCAAAGGCUCAACCUUUGAAUGUCAGUGGAUACUGCCGGGCUAGAGUCCGGAAGAGGUGAGUGGAACUCCUGGUGUAGCGGUGGAAUGCGCAGAUAUCAGGAGGAACACCGGUGGCGAAGGCGGUGGUCUGG
rnacentral:rRNA from 1 species